rnacentral:rRNA from 1 species
AACGCUAGCUACAGGCUUAACACAUGCAAGUCGCGGGGUAACAUCUGGUAGAGCUUGCUCUUCCAGGAUGACGACCGGCGCACGGGUGAGUAACGCGUAUCCAACCUGGCCCAUACCACGGGAUAGCCCGUCGAAAGGCGGAUUAAUACCGUAUGGCAUUCUAAGGUUUCAUGACAUUAGAAUUAAAGGUUUACCGGUAAUCGAUGGGGAUGCGUUCCAUUAGAUAGUAGGCGGGGUAACGGCCCACCUAGUCAACGAUGGAUAGGGGUUCUGAGAGGAAGGCCCCCCACAUUGGAACUGAGACACGGUCCAAACUCCUACGGGAGGCAGCAGUGAGGAAUAUUGGUCAAUGGACGAGAGUCUGAACCAGCCAAGUAGCGUGCAGGACGACGGCCCUAUGGGUUGUAAACUGCUUUUAUAAGGGAAUAAAGUGAGCUACGUGUAGCUUUUUGCAUGUACCUUAUGAAUAAGGACCGGCUAAUUCCGUGCCAGCAGCCGCGGUAAUACGGAAGGUCCGGGCGUUAUCCGGAUUUAUUGGGUUUAAAGGGAGCGUAGGCCGGAGAUUAAGCGUGUUGUGAAAUGUAGUGGCUCAACCUCUGCACUGCAGCGCGAACUGGUCUUCUUGAGUACGCACAACGUGGGCGGAAUUCGUGGUGUAGCGGUGAAAUGCUUAGAUAUCACGAAGAACUCCGAUUG